rnacentral:rRNA from 1 species
UACGGAGGGUGCAAGCGUUGUUCGGAAUUACUGGGCGUAAAGCGCGUGUAGGCGGUUUUUUAUGUCGGGUGUGAAAGCCCUGGGCCUAACCCAGGAAGUGCGCUCGAAACUGAAAGACUUGAGUACGAGAGAGGAGGACGGAAUUCCUAGUGUAGAGGUGAAAUUCGUAGAUAUUAGGAAGAACACCGGUGGCGAAAGCG